UGGCUAUGAGGAAAAUUAUUGUUAACUGAAUUGCUGUGAUUAUUUUAUACGCUAUUCUGAGCCAACA